rnacentral:rRNA from 1 species
CUCCUGGAAACGGGUGGUAAUGCCGGAUGUUCCAGGUGAUCGCAUGGUCUUCUGGGAAAGCUUUCGCGGCAUGGGAUGGGGUCGCGUCCUAUCAGCUUGACGGCGGGGUAACGGCCCACCGUGGCUUCGACGGGCAGCCGGCCUGAGAGGGCGACCGGCCACAUUGGGACUGAGAUACGGCCCAGACUCCUACGGGAGGCAGCAGUGGGGAAUAUCGCACAAUGGGCGCAAGCCUGAUGCAGCGACGCCGCGUGAGGGAUGGAGGCCUUCGGGUUGUAAACCUCUUUUAUCGGGGAGCAAGCGUGAGUGAGUUUACCCGUUGAAUAAGCACCGGCUAACUACGUGCCAGCAGCCGCGGUAAUACGUAGGGUGCAAGCGUUAUCCGGAAUUAUUGGGCGUAAAGGGCUCGUAGGCGGUUCGUCGCGUCCGGUGUGAAAGUCCACCGCUUAACGGUGGAUCCGCGCCGGGUACGGGCGGGCUUGAGUGCGGUAGGGGAGACUGGAAUUCCCGGUGUAACGGUGGAAUGUGUAGAUAUCGGGAAGAACACC